UCAUGGCUCAGGACGAACGCUGGCGGCGUGCUUAACACAUGCAAGUCGAGCGGAAAGGCUCCUUCGGGGGUACUCGAGCGGCGAACGGGUGAGUAACACGUGAGUAAUCUGCCCUUGGCUUUGGGAUAAGCCCCGGAAACGGGGUCUAAUACCGGAUACGACGCACUCUCGCAUGGGAUGUGUGUGGAAAGUUUUUUCGGCCAGGGAUGUGCUCGCGGCCUAUCAGCUUGUUGGUGGGGUAAUGGCCUACCAAGGCUUCGACGGGUAGCCGGCCUGAGAGGGUGACCGGCCACACUGGGACUGAGACACGGCCCAGACUCCUACGGGAGGCAGCAGUGGUGAAUAUUGGACAAUGGGCGGAAGCCUGAUCCAGCAACGCCGCGUGAGGGAUGACGGCCUUCGGGUUGUAAACCUCUUUCAGUACCGACGAAGCGCCGAUGAUGGUGGUGACGGUAGGUACAGAAGAAGCACCGGCCAACUACGUG
rnacentral:rRNA from 1 species